rnacentral:rRNA from 1 species
AUUGAACGCUGGCGGCAGGCCUAACACAUGCAAGUCGAACGAGUGGCGGACGGGUGAGUAAUGUCUGGGACACUGCCUGAUGGAGGGGGAUAACUACUGGAAACGGUAGCUAAUACCGCAUACCAUCGGGUCGGCCCAGGUGGGAUUAGCUAGGAGGUGGGGUAAAGUAUCACCUAGGCGACGAUACCUAGCUGGUCUGAGCGGAUGAGCAGCAACACUGGAACGGAGCCACGUGCCGGACCCCUACGGUAGGGAGGGGGGGGGAAUAGUACAAAAUGGGCUCAAGCUUGGUGGCGCCCUGCCGCGUGUAUGAAGAAGGCCUUCGGGUUGUAAAGUACUUUCAGUGUGGAGGCGUUACCCGAAGAAGAAGCACCGGCUAACUCCGUGCCAGCAGCCGCGGUAAUUC